AUGCAGCUGUCAACAGUACUGAUCAUAUCAAGCUAGCUAAUGGUUCAACUAUAGCUAAGUUCUUGAAUGAGACCAAAAGUUUGUCACCUGAAGAA